rnacentral:other from 1 species
AACAUUCUGCCUUGUGCGAGUAAUUAUGGAGUUUUAAAUCCGAACACAUUUAAAACGGGAGCCUUCCUCCGCUGUCAGGAUUGCAGACCUCCCGGGGCAACCCGGAAGAAGGGAGCGUGAGCGCUGCGGGGUGGCACCCACCUGCUGAGAAGCGGGUUUAUAUCCCAUAUGACGGCAAGGCGGGUCACUU